UGUGUACUCCCUCCGUUCGAAAAUACUUGAUUUCCAUUUGUCCAAAAAUGGAUGUACCUAUAUACUAAAACAUGUCUAGAUACAUAUAUAUUUUGACAAAUAGAAGGCAUGUAUUGUGCAACGGAGGGAGUAGAAU
rfam:Triticum urartu cultivar G1812 contig678334, whole genome shotgun sequence.